CUGGAGAGAAAGGGCUGAGGACUGGGAGGCUGCGGCGGCUGCUGGCUCCUACAGCCGCUAGCUCCAGAGGAGGCGCGGCCAGAGUCGUGGGGACGGUGCCACCAAGAGCGGGGAAGGUGCGGAGACCCCGGACCGCGCGCAAGAGAAAACGCGGCGGCCGCACAAGCUGUCACCUCCAACCUCUUCCCCACGCGGCUGCCUCUGCCAGAAGCCAGAGCCGGACUCACUGACAAGCCGCAGAGAGAAAGACACUGAGAGGGAGAUGAUUAUUAGUUGCGUUGAGUCAUCAGGCAAAGACCCCGAGGACUCGGCUUCCACCGGUUACCCGAGCCACUAGUCCCCCUUAAGAAGCAUUGACUGUACGGCGGCGCCAGAGGGCCAAACUAAAUUCGGUUUCGGGAAACGCGCUCGAGGCAAUUCUCUAAAUCCUGGCCUUGAGCUGGGCCAGUGGAGGUUGAAUCCCAGAGUAGCGCUGGAGACUGGGCUGCUGUCCACUUGCUUGGUAACCAACCCCAUUG
rnacentral:lncRNA from 1 species